ensembl:snRNA
AUGUUGUAUGAAAGGAGAGAAGGUUAGCACUCCCCUUGACAGGGAUAGGAGAGGCCCUCGGGUCUGCACAACACGCAUACGGUUAAGCAUUGCCACCUACUUUGUGACAUCUAACCAUCAUUUUUU